CUCAAAAGUUUCGUUGCAUCUCAGCAACUCAUCAGUGGGCUUAGGCCCAGACUUUUGAGAGUAGAAACACCUCUCAGCCCCUCCACCUUGGGGUGCCCUAUCCGAGCACUGCAGUUUCGGUAGAAAGGCUAAGAACCUCGCAAUGAGGUAAGGUGGGACUUUUCCUUCUGGAACCAAGCGGUUGGUUCCGAGGGGGGUGUGAUCCAGGUACCGCCGUAGAAACUGGAUUACGACGUCUACCCGGGAUUCAAACCCGGUCCCCUCCAGAAGUGUAUUCUGGAUGAAGAGUCUGUGCUAAGCACACUGACGAGUCUCUGAGAUGAGACGAAACUCUUCAAGAGCUUUUGUUC
rnacentral:misc_RNA from 1 species